GCGGUGAAAUCAAUUCUCACAUUAAUCCAAAAAUGAUCAGGAGAAGCCUCCAAGUCACUGACAGCCACUAAUCUUUCAGUGGACCCCCUGCUGGUGAAAAGCAAUUCUCACAUUAAUUAAAAGGAACAGAAAGAACCUCCAAGUCAAUGUCAACCUUGCAUUUCUUAGUGGACCCACUGCUGAAUAUCAAAGAUCUCCAUCAUUUGAGGCCCAAGUGUCAAUAAGAACCAACAUCUUCUGUAUGUAUAGGUCACACGUCAGUGCCAUCCUUUUCUCUUUGGCUUGAUUUGCCUUUUAAAAUCCAAACUUGUCCUGGGAAUUUUCAUCAGUGAUUUUACCAGUGGCGUGCUCCUUCAAUUGAUACCAGAAUGCAUUUGUGGCCUGAUCUCAUUCACCAGUUGCGGAUCAAGUUGUCAGUAAGGACCAAGAUCUUUCUUAAGUAUGGUGCCAUCCAUGUAUGUAAUGCUGUUCUCUUUAGCUUGAUUUACCUUUGAAAGUCCAGCCUUGUGCUGGGAAGUUUUCAUCAGUGUUUUUAUCAAUGUCUUUGCCAGUGGCGUGCUCCUUCAAUUGUGGUUCCAAUGAGUUUUCAGCCUUGUAAGUAAAUAGUAUGUUUUAGGGAAAUAUAUAAUUCUCCUUGCAUAUAUUUUGAAACUUAAAAGCUUCAAUAAAAUCUGUUAUGGCAAAAAAGGUCCCUAUAUGUAACUAUAUAAGAAUUUUAGAUCUUCAUAUCUUAAUAUCUUUACCACAUUCACCUCCUUUCGAUGAGGAAAGUCAACUGGAUAGCAAGAGAAUGAAGAGAAACAGAAAAUAAGGGACAGUUAGUAGAAGUAGUAGAAGACAAUGAAGGAGGGAAGAAGGCAAGAUAAAAGAAGGAAGGAAGGAAGGGAGGAAAAAUGGAAGGGGUAAGUAAGGAAGAAGGGAAGGAAGGAUAAAGAUGAAAAGAUAAAACAAGAUUCAAUGAAUUGUUUCUGUAUAACAGGGAGAAAGUAGUUGUCUCAUUAAUUAAGAAUGAAUAAAAAGAACCUCCAAGU